AAGUUCAGAUCCAUAGCUUUUCCUGCCUCUUGAGCCAAUGCUGGCAACGACGACGACUAGAUCCGCAACUCAAGCAUAUGCCAUUGUUAUCUCUGCAAGCGGCGACGCUCUCCAUCCAAGCAGAGCAGCCAGCCAUCGGCGUCUGGAGCGAGCCAGGCUCGAUCAGUUGCGGUCGUGCUGCUACCUCAAGCAGCAGCUAGCUCUUCUCCAUGGAUGGAGCUAGCCCUUCUUCAGCUUCGGAUCAUGAGGUGUGUGAUGGAGGACAAGUUUGGAGGCAAGUGCUGAUGCAAUAGAGAAUAAGGAAAUCUGUUUUGGUUCGUACCGCAGCUACGAGGGGCCGAUGAUCUGCCGGAGGCAAUCCCUUCUCUUCGCCUCCGGCGCCCGCCAACUGAUCUGGAGGAGGGAGAUGAGGAACUCGACAGUCCUCCGCUGCAGCGGUGCCCACCAUCUCCUCCAUUCAUCCGAAAGUCUACCAAGCGAUGGAGGAAGAUGACUUGCAAACGAGUACUAUAGCUACUAGCUAGCUAGUCGCCUGCAACCUGCAUAUCUCUACUUCAUGUUCUUCCUCCGCGGAGAGCUUCUCUCCAAUGGGGAAGAGAUGCAUGGGAAGAGGGCUGGGGCAGCAGAGGACGAGAGGAGUUCUACUAUAUCACUUCAGAGGUCCUUCACCGCCAAGUAAUACCAUAUUAUUUGCUGGUCGUCGUCGUCGAAAGAAGCGGCUGGUGAGGCCCACUGCCCGGGCCUACGUGUAGGAGAUCGAAUCUUUGAAAACACCAGCCCCAUGCAAAAGUAGCAUGCAUGGAUAAGUAAUUAAAUACGUACCUCAAGUGCUCUGCCCUGCCGCGUCAUCAGUGCCUGAUUUGAUCUGAUUAUUAGGCUAGUAUCAGUGUCAGUGUCAUCGACACAGUUACCAAGACUGGGGACUAGAGAACUAUGCCAGUGGAGUGUCAUGGUGAUGACACUUCUAUCACAUUUCAUGACACUCCUCUCUCCUCAUACUAUUGGUAUAUAUUAGCAAAUUUAAUGUUUAUGACACUCAUAUGAUACUUCCACUGAAAUUGACCUAACUGCUAGCUGCACUCUGCAUGCACCCACAAAAAGGACAGAACAGAUUAAGUUUGCAAUUUUCGCGCCUAUUUGGG